CUCUGACCGCCGACUGUGGGAUCCGGAGCCCCCACGCGCCCUAGAACCCGGGCUCCCUGCGCUCUCCGGCCCUGGGACCUUGACCAGACCCGGGGCGCUGCUUUGUCUCGGCUUGGACGGAAAAUGACCAUGUUUAUUUUGGAUAUGUAAAGAAUACCUUGUAUAACCAAGCUGAAAUAGUGAAACAAAAUAUCAUUACCAGUUUCAUCAUCUGGAAAGAAGGAAGUCCUGAUAAAUUCUUGUUGAUGCCUUAUCCCCAACCUGGUACUCAAAGAAAGGGCACAGGGAAAGGAAAGCAAGAAUCUUUCUGCCUGCCCUUUGCAUACCCAGGGCUCCAGUGCCGAUGAAAAGAGUGCAAUCCUGAGGCCAAACUCAGCCUUCUACCCUUGACAUCACAGAAGCCUCUAGCACAACAUUCUACAUGUAGGAGACACCAGCUGAAAGCUGCUUGAAGAGCUGGAUGCUUCUCUAAGACUGUAGGAAGAUCAUGGGUUAAGACUGGAUGCAAGACUGUCAGGUUUUGUAUGAAAUACAUAUUCCUACUGCUGUUUUUCACUACCUCAAAUUUCAUCACCACUAUUUUCAUUCUUUGUCAGUAGUAAAGUAAUUCAGGAGAACCUCAGUACAGGCUCAGAAUGGUGAGACAUAACCCAGUUCUUUCUUUGGUCAUUGUAUCUAUAGAGGAAGAAGCAAUUUGAUUUUUGGUCUAUAGGGUGCUGUGACUAGACAGUGUUGAGAGCAGCUGAUAAUCACAUUCAUUUAAAAACCAAAGAUGUUCCUUCAAGAACUUCCUACAUGAAUUUACUUAGUAUGAGGGUUUAAGAUAGUUUAAGGCUGUGUGUAUUUGGGGUGAGAGCUAUGAAAUAAAUCCAAAGGCAAUUAUCAUAUCUAAAUCCUAUAUGUCUGGUUAGGACUGAGGCACAGAUGAGAAAAACUGUUAGAAAACUAUGAAAAAAAAUCUUAGAGAGCUGUAAUUAAAAUCAUAGGUUGAGGGAGUACUUCUUAAUCUCAGUUAUUAAUUACAGUUUUCAACAACUGCAUCUAUGUUAUCAACUGUACGUCUAUGCUGAUUCUUGAAUCCUUUAGGACAGACGUGUUUCAGCAGGUUAUGUGGAUUCAAAUCACUUUCAGGAGCUGAGUUGAACCAACGUAAUUUUAGGUAAAGACUAUAAACAACAAGGAAGACUUAUCCAUCCCUGUUUGCAGAAAACUGUCAAAAUCACUCAUCAAUAGUAAAACCAGACAAAUCAGCCAUGGUUACAGCCUGUUGUUACUUUCCCCUUAACCUUCCUUUCAGGAAUAGACUUCCCAGCAGCUCUGUGACCUGGGAAGGAGGCGGUCAAUCAAGGGGCACUGCCUCUCCCCAGAAGGUUGGGAAGGUAACACGGUAAAGGUCAACAGGGGUCACGUCCAUGGAGGUGGGGUGAGGAAGGUGCACUUUCUUUAUGAGAUCUCAAGCUGUGUAACCAAGAUCCUUCUCUUUUGCAUUAAAAAAAAAAAAAACAGCCGCCAGAGCAUGAAACACAUGAAACAAUCACCCAUUCUCACACAGAGGAAGAAACAAAGAGAUAAGAGAAUAUACUGCUGAAGAUAAAUUGAGCCCUAGGCUCAUCUGUCCUGAGUUUUCAAGUUGGAGCCAAUAAAUUCCUUUCUUUACUCCUUACACAGAAAAAAUUGGGCAGGGUUUCUCUCACUUGCAAGCAAAAGCCCGAUAGCUAUGGUUGGGUCUGGUUUGAGUUAGCUGCAUGGCUUUCUGCGUUGAAUCUAAUCCCCACUGUGAGGUGUUAAGAGGCUAGAAAUUUAAUUCGACUGUAGUGUUUAGAGGUGAGGACUUUAGGAAAGUGAUUAGGAAAAGAUGAGGUUAUUAGGGUGGGGCCCUCAAGAUUGAAUUCUGUAGUUUUAUAGAGACCACACAAACACACUUCCUCCCUGUCACACACACUCUCCCUGUUUCUUGCUAUGUUGGACUCUGCCAACAAGAAGGUUGUUCCCAGAUGGAAACGCUUGAAACUCUAGAACUGCAAGUAAAGAAACAUCCCUUCUUUUUAACUUGCCCAGGCUGUGGUAUUAUGAGGAAUAGAAAAUAACCCCAUUGCUUAUUUAAGCUAAGAUGCUUCAUGCGCAGAUAAAAAGAUUGC